rnacentral:misc_RNA from 1 species
GAUGAAGAACGUAGCGAAAUGCGAUAAGUAAUGUGAAUUGCAGAAUUCAGUGAAUCAUCGAAUCUUUGAACGCACAUUGCGCCCGCCAGUAUUCUGGCGGGCAUGCCUGUUCGAGCGUCAUUACAACCCUCAGGCCCCCGGGCCUGGCGUUGGGGAUCGGCGGAGCCCCCCGUGGGCACACGCCGUCCCCCAAAUGCAGUGGCGGUCCCGCCGCAGCUUCCAUCGCGUAGUAGCUAACACCUCGCGACUGGAGAGCGGCGCGGCCACGCCGUAAAACACCCAACUCUUCUGAAGUUGACCUCGAAUCAGGUAGGAAUACCCGCUGAACUUAAGCAUAUCAAUAAGCGGAGGA